GAUUAUAUGCUUGUCUCAAAGCUUAAGCCAUGCAAGUCUAAGUUAAGACUCGUUCCUUUCGGGGAGCGCGAUCGAGACUGUGAACGGCUCAUUAGUCAGACGAGGUUCCUUGGUUUUUAUAGAGUCGUAAAAUGGAUAACUGUGGUAAUUCUAGAGCUAAUACAUGCUACGCAUACAGCCCCGUCCAUUGGGGUGGAGGUAUUUAUUCUCUACAAUGACCGCCCGCGCCUAUCGAUUGAAUAUUGAAUUCGGGAGGGCGCCGUGGGUAAAGUGUUGAAAUCUGAUUAACUUGGUCGAUCACUCGGUGACAUUGCCAUGAAGUGUCUGUCCCAUCAAUUGACGAUGGUCGGUGCCCUGCCUACCACGGUGACGACGGGUAACGGGGAAUCAGGGUUCGAUUCCGGAGAGGGAGCCUGCGAAACGGCUACCACCUCCAAGGAGGGCAGCAGGCGCGCAACUUACCCAAUCCCGACUCGGGGAGGUAGUGACGAAAAAUAUCGCGAUGGGACUGUACGGUCACUGUAUGCGGAAUGAGGGCAAUUUAAACAAGUGUCCGAGGAGCUAUUGGAGGGCAAGCCUGGUGCCAGCAGCCGCGGUAAUUCCAGCUCCAAUAGCCUAUAUCGGAGUUGCUGCGGUUAAAAAGCUCGCAGUUGGAUCUCGGAGACGGCACGCUUGGACCUGAUACGCUGCGGGUCCGACCGGCUCACAAGCCGUCCCUAACUCUUGCGUUCGGGGGCGAUUCGAUAGCCUAGACAUAUCCAUCGUUCUCCCGUGUUUUGCCAAAGACACUACACGGACACCCGACGCAUACGAUGUCUACCUUGAAAAAAUUAGAGUGCUAAAGGCAGGCAGACCAUAUAGCCAGAAUAUUUCGUGCAUGGAAUUAACGGGGAUACUCCACCGGUGGGCGGUCCGGCCGACGGGCGACGUCGCUUCGCUGUCGGCUCUCGUGGUGGAGUUAAGGAUUUCGAGAGGAACGGCAGAAGGGCCAGCGUACUGGCCGGU
rnacentral:rRNA from 2 species